UCUGGCUUAGUUUAUUAGAAAAUAUUACGUUGUGGGUGUAAAGAGAGGCGGUGCUUAGUUAGAA
rnacentral:tRNA from 1 species